AGAGUUUGAUCAUGGCUCAGAACUAACGCUGGCGGCGUGCCUAACACAUGCAAGUCGUACGAGAAAGUUGGCUUCGGCCGAUGAGUAAAGUGGCGCACGGGUGAGUAACGCGUGGAUAAUCUACCCCUCAGUUGGGAAUAACUCAUCGAAAGGUGGGCUAAUACCGAAUAAUACUGCAUAACUUCUGUUGUGUAGUCAAAGAUGGCCUCUGCUUGCAAGCUAUCGCUGAAGGAUGAGUCCGCGUACCAUUAGCUAGUUGGUAGGGUAAUGGCCUACCAAGGCAACGAUGGUUAGCUGGUCUGAGAGGAUGAUCAGCCACACUGGAACUGAGACACGGUCCAGACUCCUACGGGAGGCAGCAGUGAGGAAUAUUGCGCAAUGGGGGCAACCCUGUCGUAGCAACGCCGCGUGAGUGAGGAAGGUUUUCGGACCGUAAAGCUCUGUCGGGCGGGAGGAAAUGCAUAGUGGUUAAUAUCCAUUAUGCUUGACGGUACCGCUAAAGGAAGCACCGGCUAACUCCGUGCCAGCAGCCGCGGUAAUACGGGGGGUGCUAGCGUUGUUCGGAAUCAUUGGGCGUAAAGAGCGUGUAGGCGGCUGGAUAAGUCAGAUGUGAAAGCCCUGGGCUUAACCCAGGAAGUGCAUUUGAAACUGUUCAGCUUGAGUAAGGGAGAGGAAAGUGGAAUUCCUGGUGUAGAGGUGAAAUUCGUAGAUAUCAGGAGGAACACCGGUGGCGAAGGCGACUUUCUGGCCCUAUACUGACGCUGAGACGCGAGAGCGUGGGUAGCAAACAGGAUUAGAUACCCUGGUAGUCCACGCUGUAAACGAUGUUCACUAGGUGUUGGGGGUAUUGACCCUCUCAGUGCCGCAGCUAACGCAUUAAGUGAACCGCCUGGGGAGUACGGUCGCAAGAUUAAAACUCAAAGGAAUUGACGG
rnacentral:rRNA from 1 species